rnacentral:rRNA from 1 species
CUCAUUAAAUCAGUUAUCGUUUAUUUGAUAGUACCUUACUACUUGGAUAACCGUGGUAAUUCUAGAGCUAAUACAUGCUAAAAACCUCGACUUCGGAAGGGGUGUAUUUAUUAGAUAAAAAACCAAUGCCCUUCGGGGCUCCUUGGUGAUUCAUAAUAACUUAACGAAUCGCAUGGCCUUGUGCCGGCGAUGGUUCAUUCAAAUUUCUGCCCUAUCAACUUUCGAUGGUAGGAUAGUGGCCUACCAUGGUUUCAACGGGUAACGGGGAAUUAGGGUUCUAUUCCGGAGAGGGAGCCUGAGAAACGGCUACCACAUCCAAGGAAGGCAGCAGGCGCGCAAAUUACCCAAUCCCGACACGGGGAGGUAGUGACAAUAAAUACUGAUACAGGGCUCUUUUGGGUCUUGUAAUUGGAAUGAGUACAAUUUAAAUCCCUUAACGAGGAACAAUUGGAGGGCAAGUCUGGUGCCAGCAGCCGCGGUAAUUCCAGCUCCAAUAGCGUAUAUUAAAGUUGUUGCAGUUAAAAAGCUCGUAGUUGAACCUUGGGCCUGGCUGGCCGGUCCGCCUCACCGCGUGCACUGGUCCGGCCGGGUCUUUCCUUCUGGGGAGCCGCAUGCCCUUCACUGGGUGUGUCGGGGAACCAGGACUUUUACUUUGAAAAAAUUAGAGUGUUCAAAGCAGGCCUAUGCUCGAAUACAUUAGCAUGGAAUAAUAGAAUAGGACGUGUGGUUCUAUUUUGUUGGUUUCUAGGACCGCCGUAAUGAUUAAUAGGGAUAGUCGGGGGCAUCAGUAUUCAAUUGUCAGAGGUGAAAUUCUUGGAUUUAUUGAAGACUAACUACUGCGAAAGCAUUUGCCAAGGAUGUUUUCAUUAAUCAGUGAACGAAAGUUAGGGGAUCGAAGACGAUCAGAUACCGUCGUAGUCUUAACCAUAAACUAUGCCGACUAGGGAUCGGGCGAUG